rnacentral:rRNA from 1 species
AUUGAACGCUGGCGGCAGGCCUAACACAUGCAAGUCGAACGGUAACAGGAAGCAGCUUGCUGCUUUGCUGACGAGUGGCGGACGGGUGAGUAAUGUCUGGGAAACUGCCCGAUGGAGGGGGAUAACUACUGGAAACGGUAGCUAAUACCGCAUAACGUCGCAAGACCAAAGAGGGGGACCUUAGGGCCUCUUGCCAUCGGAUGUGCCCAGAUGGGAUUAGCUAGUAGGUGGGGUAACGGCUCACCUAGUCGACGAUCCCUAGCUGGUCUGAGAGGAUGACCAGCCACACUGGAACUGAGACACGGUCCAGACUCCUACGGGAGGCAGCAGUGGGGAAUAUUGCACAAUGGGCGCAAGCCUGAUGCAGCCAUGCCGCGUGUAUGAAGAAGGCCUUCGGGUUGUAAAGUACUUUCAGCGGGGAGGAAGGGAGUAAAGUUAAUACCUUUGCUCAUUGACGUUACCCGCAGAAGAAGCACCGGCUAACUCCGUG